UUAAGUUAACAAGGGCGCAUGGUGAAUGCCUUGGCACUAGGAGCCGAUGAAGGACGGGACUAACACCGAUAUGCUUCGGGGAGCUGUACGUAAGCUAUGAUCCGGAGAUUUCCGAAUGGGGCAACCCAGCAGUUUUAAUCAACUGUUACCACUAGAUGAAUUCAUAGUCUAGUUGGAGGUAAACGCUGUGAACUGAAACAUCUCAUUAGCAGCAGGAAUAUAAAGAAAUUUCGAUUCCCUAAGUAGCGGCGAGCGAACGGGGAACAGCCCAAACCAAAGUGCUUGCACUUUGGGGUUGUAGGACUGAACAUUUGAGUUACCAAAGAACUUGAUAGUCGAAGGAUUUGGGAAAAUCCGCCAUAGAUGGUGAUAGCCCAGUAGAUUAAAUCAAAUUCUCUCAGUUCAGGAUCCUGAGUACGGCGGAACACGUGAAAUUCCGUCGGAAUCCGGGAGGACCAUCUCCCAAGGCUAAAUACUACCUAGUGACCGAUAGUGAACCAGUACCGUGAGGGAAAGGUGAAAAGCACCCCGGGAGGGGAGUGAAAUAGUUCCUGAAACCAUGUGCCUACAAUAAGUCAGAGCGCGUUAAUGCGUGAUGGCGUGCCUUUUGUAGAAUGAACCGGCGAGUUAUGAUCCCGUGCAAGGUUAAGACUAAAAAGUCGGAGCCGUAGCGAAAGCGAGUCUGAAAUGGGCGUUUUGAGUACGAGGUUAUAGACCCGAAACCAGGUGACCUAUCCAUGUCCAGGUUGAAGGUGCGGUAAAACGCACUGGAGGACCGAACCCGUGUAAGUUGAAAAUUGCUGGGAUGAGGUGUGGAUAGCGGUGAAAUUCCAAACGAACUUGGAGAUAGCUGGUUCUCUCCGAAAUAGCUUUAGGGCUAGCCUCGGAAUUAGGAUCAUGGAGGUAGAGCACUAUUUGGACUAGGGGCCCGUCUUGGGUUACUGAAUUCAGAUAAACUCCGAAUGCCAUUGAUUCAUAUCCGGGAGUCAGACGAUGAGUGAUAAGAUCCACCGUCGAAAGGGGAACAGCCCAGACCAUCAGUUAAGGUCCCUAAAUGUAUGCUAAGUGGAAAAGGAUGUGGAGUUGCAUAGACAACUAGGAUGUUGGCUCAGAAGCAGCCACCAUUUAAAGAGUGCGUAAUAGCUCACUAGUCGAGUGAUCCUGCGCCGAAAAUGUACCGGGGCUAAGCAUACUACCGAAACCAUGGAUGCGACCAUUAGGUCGCGUGAUAGGAGAGCGUUCUAAGGGCGGUGAAGCAAGAUCGUGAGGACUUGUGGAGCGCUUAGAAGUGAGAAUGCCGGUAUGAGUAGCGAAAGAUAGGUGAGAAUCCUAUCCACCGAAUGACUAAGGUUUCCUGGGGAAGGCUCGUCCUCCCAGGGUUAGUCGGGACCUAAGUCGAGGCCGAGAGGCGUAGACGAUGGAUAACAGGUUGAGAUUCCUGUACUAGUUAAGUGCGUUUGAGCAAUGGAGGGACGCAGGAGGCUAAGAUGUGCAUUCUGUUGGAUUAGAAUGUCCAAGCAGUAAGUCUUGUGAAGAGUCAAAUGCUUUUCACUUUAAGGACAAGCUGUGAUGGGGAGCGAAAUUUAGUAGCGAAGCGUCUGAUGUCACACUGCCGAGAAAAGCUUCUAGUGAGUACUUAACUACCCGUACCGCAAACCGACACAGGUAGUCGAGGAGAGAAUCCUAAGGUGAGCGAGUGAACUCUCGUUAAGGAACUCGGCAAAAUGACCCCGUAACUUCGGGAGAAGGGGUGCUGAUCGCAAGAUCAGCCGCAGUGAAUAGGCCCAGGCGACUGUUUAUCAAAAACACAGGUCUCUGCAAAAUCGUAAGAUGACGUAUAGGGGCUGACGCCUGCCCGGUGCUGGAAGGUUAAAAGGAUGGUUAGCUUCGGCGAAGCUCAGAAUUGAAGCCCCAGUAAACGGCGGCCGUAACUAUAACGGUCCUAAGGUAGCGAAAUUCCUUGUCGGGUAAGUUCCGACCCGCACGAAAGGCGUAACGAUCUGGGCACUGUCUCAACGAGAGACUCGGUGAAAUUAUAUUGUCCGUGAAGAUGCGGACUACCCGCGACAGGACGGAAAGACCCCAUGGAGCUUUACUGUAGCUUGAUAUUGAGUGUUUGUACAGCUUGUACAGGAUAGGUAGGAGCCAUAGAAACCGGAACGCUAGUUUCGGUGGAGGCGUUGGUGGGAUACUACCCUCGCUGUAUGACCACUCUAACCCGCACCACUAAUCGUGGUGGGAGACAGUGUCAGGUGGGCAGUUUGACUGGGGCGGUCGCCUCCUAAAAAGUAACGGAGGCGCCCAAAGGUUCCCUCAGAAUGGUUGGAAAUCAUUCGCAGAGUGUAAAGGCACAAGGGAGCUUGACUGCGAGACAGACAGGUCGAGCAGGGACGAAAGUCGGGCUUAGUGAUCCGGUGGUACCGUAUGGAAGGGCCAUCGCUCAACGGAUAAAAGCUACCCUGGGGAUAACAGGCUUAUCUCCCCCAAGAGUCCACAUCGACGGGGAGGUUUGGCACCUCGAUGUCGGCUCAUCGCAUCCUGGGGCUGUAGUCGGUCCCAAGGGUUGGGCUGUUCGCCCAUUAAAGCGGUACGCGAGCUGGGUUCAGAACGUCGUGAGACAGUUCGGUCCCUAUCCGUCGCGGGCGUAGGAAAUUUGAGAGGACCUGUCCUUAGUACGAGAGGACCGGGAUGGACAUACCUCUGGUGUACCAGUUGUGCCGCCAGGCGCAUCGCUGGGUAGCUACGUAUGGAUGUGAUAAACGCUGAAAGCAUCUAAGUGUGAAACACACCUCGAGAUGAGAUUUCCCAUUCCUUUAUGGAAGUAAGACCCCUGAAAGAUGAUCAGGUAGAUAGGUUAGAAGUGGCAGUGCGGUGACGCAUGAAGCGGACUAAUACUAAUCGGUCGAGGACUUAACCAA
rnacentral:rRNA from 1 species